AGAUUCCCAAGAAUCUAGAUGUUGAGGCUGUCUUCGGCCCUCCUGCAUGUCUGGAGAGAGAAGGGGAGAGCACUGACAAGGAAAAUUGGGGCCUUGCCUGGAAGUAGAAUGACUGGGAUGGCCUCAGGAACCAUCAGACCACAGUUUUAUGCCAAGAUUUCUGCCCCCGGGCUGGUGCACUCCUCAUACAUCUAAAGAAAGCUCUCCAUCCACAGCUGUCUUCUGGAGCCUAUGCCCCCUGAAAGAAUUCUGUUCCUGUUUGAAUGUUCCCAUGUAAAUGCUGCUGCUCUCCGGAGGAAAUCACACCCUUCAAUCGGUCACUCCCAGAGCUUUUAUUAAGGGUGUGAGGGGGGAGAUGAAUGAAGGGACAGAAGCUCUCGGGAAGAGAAGAAGCCCUCCUGCCUGGCCUGAAAGCUGAACUGCGGAUUUGCUCACCCACUGAACCAAUGCCCACUGUGUGCCUGGACUUUUGCUGAGAGGCCCCAGCAGAGGUUCCUGGCCUGUGGGUCAUCCACUACAUUCCUGGAAAUGGUCCAGUCAGCUGUGGCGAUGGAGAGGGGUCCCCGAAUACUGUCCCUUUGGUUGCCUUGAUGGACAGCAGGGACAGUGUGAUUCACACGUCUUCAGAGCCUUCUGUCUGCUUGCUGUAGAGAGGGUGAGUUUCACAGCGAGACCUGUGGGGAGCUCAUGAAGCAGGCUAGGUUCUCCAGGCCUGGGGAACGGGCCUGGGGAAACAGAGGACUGGCUGUGGUCUCUGAAUCGAUUCUCUCCAGCCCCACCCCCAACAGUCUGCCUCUGCAACACGACACAAGGAUUCUAGUUGGGUCAUCUUCACUGUGCCAAAGGCAAGACAAGCCCUUUAAAUUUAUUACUUAUCCUCAAUCGGGAUGGACCAGAGUGUUUGUUAAUUCCA